CCUAAAUGGUUUGAUGAAUUCAAGUGGGUGGAGUAUAGUGUGCAUAGAGAUGCAGCAUAUUGCUUUGUUUGCUAUUUGUUUAAGGAUAAUAGCAAAUAUCCUGGUGGAGAUGCUUUUGUUGAUGAAGGGUUUCGGAAUUGGAAUAUGAAAAUCAGAUUUCGUAGGCAUGCAGGUGCUAUUGAUAGUGCUCAUAGUGAAGUGGAGGAGAAAUAUAAUUUGUUCAUGAAAACCUAAGACAUCAAUUCGUGAUUCUAUGGCCUCAAAUACUGCAGAUUUCAAGGCUAAGUAUCUAGCUCGUGUGACAUGGUCACUUAAGUGCAUAAGGUAUCUUUUGCGUCAGGGGUUAGCUUUUCGUGGUCAUGAUGAGGGAAAGGAUUCAAACAAUCAAGGCAAUUUCAGGGAACUUUUGGCAUGGCUGGCGGGGAAUUUUGAAGAAGUUAAUCAAGUGGUUCUUGAAAAUGCUCCACAUAAUUGUCAGAUGAUUGACCGCAAGAUUCAGAAACAACUUAUUGCUGCUUGUGCUCAUGAAACAACCAAAUUUAUUAUAGAGGAACUUGGUGAUGAAUGCUUUGCCAUUCUUGCGGAUGAGUCCAGUGAUGCAUACCAACAGGAACAAUUGGCUGUUUGCUUGCGUUAUGUCAAUAAAAAAGGAUAACACGUUGAGCGGUUUCUUGGUCUUGUGCACAUUGAAGAUACUACAUCAUUGACUCUUAAAGAAGCAAUUCAGUCCUUGCUUAUCAAAUAUCAAUUGCCCUUAUCCAAGGUACGUGGUCAAGGGUAUGAUGGAGCUAGUAAUAUAAAAGGUCAUGUUAAUGGUUUGAAGAAAUUAAUUAUGGAAGAGUCCCCUUCCGCAUAUUAUGUUCAUUGCUUCGCCCAUCAACUUCAGUUAACCCUUGUAGCUGUGGCUAAAGAGAAUAUCGAUUGUCAAUGGUUUUUUGGGCAACUUGCAUAUUUGUUGAAUGUUCUAGACAUGUCUUGCAAGAAUAUCCGCAUGCUUCGCAUAGCUCAAGCUGAAUACAUGAUUGAAGCAUUGAAAUUGGGUGAAAUUGAAACUGGCCAAGGAUUGAAUCAAGAGAUGUGUUUAGCAAGACCAGGUGAUACACGUUGGGGAUCUUAUUACAAAACUGUUAUGCAUGUGAUGCAUUUGUAUCCUUCAAUCAAGAAAGUUCUUUUUAGAGUUGGGAAAGAAGGUAAAGUUUCUGAGGCAUUAGGAGCUCAAACUAUGCUCAGAGUAUUUAACUCAUUUGAGUUUGUUUUUCUGCUCCACUUGAUGAAUGAAAUAUUUGGAUACACAAAUGACUUAUGCAAUGCUUUGCAAAAGAGAGAGCAAGAUAUUGUAAAUGCAAUGGAUCUUCUUGAGUUCACAAAGGUAGAAUUGGAUGUUUUGAGAGAGAUGCUGAAUGGGAAGAAUUUCUUAAGAAGGUCACUUCUUUUUGCGAGAAGCAUAAAGCUAAAGUUGUUGACAUGAAUGGAAAGUAUAUUCCUAUACAAAGAUCAGCUAAGUUUUAUAGAGGUGCCACUAACUACCAUUGGUUUCAUGCUGAUAUGUUUUUAGGUGUCAUUGAUAGGCAACUUCAGAGCUGAAUAACAGAUUUGAUGAGGUAAAUACAGAGCUACUUAGAUGUAUGGCAGCAUUCAGUCCAGCUAACUCCUUUUCUACCUUUGAUAUUGAGAAGUUGGUUAAGCUUGCUGGGUUCUAUCCUCAUGACUUUGACUAUGAAGAAAUGAACCAACUUUGUUUUCAACUACGUCUCUAUAUUGCUCGUGUGAGGAAUGAUGAGAACUUCAAAAAUUUGAGAAGUCUAUCAGAGUUGUCUAUGAUGCUAGUUAAAAGAAAUAUGGUUUCUCCGCAUGCCAUUGUGUAAAAACUUCUCAAACUGGUUAUAGUUCUUCCUGUUGCAACUGCUGGUGUUGAGAGAAUCUUUUCUGCAAUGAACACUAUCAAAAACAAGCUAAGAAGCAAGAUGGGGCAGAAAUUUUUGAAUAAUUGUUUGACCAAUUUAUUGAAAGGGAAUUCUUCUUGCAAGCGAAUGAUGAGGACAUCAUCAAGUAUUUUGAAGCCAUGAGGAUCGUAAAGUUAUCUUGUAAUUUGCCCGCCCCUGACGAGAUGUGGAACACCAGGUGGAUGGAUGAUGAAGACGGCAGUUCGAGACGAUAAGCAACUCGAUCGACACGCACCAGCACUUUUAAGGGCCCAAAGUACUUGAAGGCCAGUUUCUGACUAGCUCGAGCAGCAAGAGAUGACUGAACGUAUGGCUGUAGCUUAAGAAACACUUGAUCACACUCUUGAAAUUGACGCUCAGAGCGGUGGCAAUCUGCCUGCUUCUUCAUGCGCUGCUUGGCGUGAAGUAGAUGUUGUCUGAUAAGGUCAGACAUCAAUUGGCACUCUUGAAGCCAGUCAGCAAGAUCAACAAAGACCACUGCGUCCAAGGCAGAUAUACCAAAAAUGUCUGGGCUCAUGACCAUAUAGUGCAGAGAAUGGACUCCUCCUAAUUGCUGAAUGUUCACAUGUAUUGUACCAGAACUCAGCUAGUGGAAAGCCACUAUGACCACUUAGAUGGACAGGCAUUAACAAAACAUCUCAAGAAGGUUUCCAUGGUCUGAUUAAGCCUCUCAGUUUGUCCAUCAUACUGUGGAUGGUAACUAGAUGAUAUGUGUAACUUAACAUCAGCAAUUCUGAAUAAUUCCUGCCAGAACUUGCUGGUAAAAAUUCUAUCACGGUCAGACACAAUGAUAGCAGGAAGGCCAUGUAACUUGUAUACCUCAUUGAUAAAUGCCUUAGCAACCACUGUAGCAGUAAAGGGAUGCUUGAGAGGAAUAAAGUGCCCAUACUUAGUAAAGGAAUCUACUACCACCAGUAUACAAUUGGCCUGACCAGAUGGAGGAAGGCCUUCCACAAAAUCCGUUGAUAUCAUCUGCCAGGCUACAGAAGGUACCUCAAGUGGCUGUAAAAGCCCAGGCAGUUUGGACCUAUCAGGCUUGAAAUGCUGACAUACUGUACAAUGUUUGACAAAUGAGUGCACUGCAACUUUCAUUUCCUUCCUGGCAAACAAUUUCUUCAUCCUCAUGUAGGUCACUAGGACCCAGAAUGGCCUCCCAAGCCACUGGCAUGACAGGCUUGCAUUAACGUGUUUUGCAGAGUUGGAUUAGCCCCCACCCAAAUCAUAUUCUUGUAUCUGAGUAACCUAUUAUGCAGAGUAAAGUGAGCAACUGCAGAUGACUCAAUCAUCAGUUUAGCUACUACCGCAGUAGUAUGUUUGUCUUGGUGGUAACCAGACACCACUUCCUCAACCCAGUGUGGGGGGCAAGCAGAAAUAGCAGCACAGGAAGACAGGCCUAAGAACUUGGUAAAUACUUUCUGUUGCCAGCAAGUAUGAAGUCGCUGCUCAUUUAACUGCAUCAAGCUUCUCUGGUCGAUAAUCCUAAGGAUUUAGGUCCCAAGGCUUUACUAAAAAAUGCUAAUGGGUGACCAUCCUGCAUCAACACAGCACCAACACUUGUCCCAUUGGCAUCUGUUUCUAUACAGAACUGCUUAGAGAAAUCAUGAAGGGCCAGCACUGGAGCUUGGCGCAAAGCAUUUUUCAGGGCUGUAAAAGACUUUUCAUGAUCAGCUGUCCAUACAAAGACCGCUUGCUUCUUCAACAACUCAGUCAAGGGUUUACUGAUGAUCCCAAAAUGCCUCACAAACUUUCUGUAAUAACCUGCAAGGCCUAAGAAACUUCUGAGCUCUCUCACAUUCUAUGGAGAAGGCCAUUGAGAAAUAGCUGCUAUCUUGGAAGGAUCUGUCCCUACCCAGAUUCACUGAUUGCAUGGCCCAAAUAAUAGAUCUAUCUCUGGGCAAAUGAACAUUUGGACAGUUUAAUCUUC